GACGAACGCUGGAGGCGUGCCUACUACAUGCAAGUAGGACUCAGUUGCGAACGGGUGAGUAAAGCGUAGGUAACUGCCGAUUAGAGGGGGAUAACUAUUGGAAACGAUAGCUAAUACCGCAUACUAGUAGAUGGACCUGCGUUGAAUUAGCUAGUAGGUAGGUGAAUGGCCUACCUAGUCGACGAUACAUAGCCGGCCUGGUGAGUUGGUCGGCCACAACGGGAAGUAGUGAAUGCCAGGACUCGUUCGGGUGGCAGCAGUAGGGAAUCGUUGGGCAUGGGGGGAAGACUGACCGAGCAACGCCGCGUGAGUGUAGAAGGUUUUCAUAUCGUAAAGCUCUGUUGUUAAGGGAGCGGUACUUAACCAGAAAGGGACGGCUAACUACGUGCCAGCCGCCGCGGUAAUAC
rnacentral:rRNA from 1 species